rnacentral:rRNA from 1 species
AACGAACGCUGGCGGCGCGCCUAAUACAUGCAAGUCGAGCGAGAAGGUGUAGCAAUACACUUGUAAAGCGGCGAACGGGUGAGGAAUGCAUGGGUAACCUACCCUCGAGUGGGGAAUAACUAGCCGAAAGGUUAGCUAAUACCGCAUACGUUUCCGGAACUUCGGUUUCGGAAAGAAAGCAAUACCGUGGGUAUUGCGCUCCUGGAUGGGCUCAUGUCCUAUCAGCUUGUUGGUGAGGUAACGGCUCACCAAGGCUUCGACGGGUAGCUGGUCUGAGAGGACGAUCAGCCACACUGGCACUGCGACACGGGCCAGACUCCUACGGGAGGCAGCAGUAAGGAAUAUUGCGCAAUGGACGAAAGUCUGACGCAGCGACGCCGCGUGGGGGAUGAAGGUCUUCGGGAUUGUAAACCCCUUUCGGGAGGGAAGAUGGAGUGGGUAACCACUUGGACGGUACCUCCAGAAGCAGCCACGGCUAACUUCGUGCCAGCAGCCG